rnacentral:rRNA from 1 species
AACGAACGCUGGCGGCAGGCUUAACACAUGCAAGUCGAACGCCCCGCAAGGGGAGUGGCAGACGGGUGAGUAACGCGUGGGAAUCUACCUAGUUCUACGGAACAACACAGGGAAACUUGUGCUAAUACCAUAUACGCCCUACGGGGGAAAGAUUUAUCGGAAUUAGAUGAGCCCGCGUAAGAUUAGCUAGUUGGUGGGGU